GUGGGCUUUGAGGUCUCAUGCUCAAGUCAUGUGCAGAGAGACAGACCACUUCCUGUUUCCUGUGAGAUAUAGAACUGUCAGCUCCUUCUCCAGUACCUUGUCCGCCUGCAUGCUGCCAGUCCCACCUUGAUGAUAGUGGACUGAACCUCUGAAAAUAUUUUUCCUUCUGAGAGCAACACUGUGGGGCUGGGAGUUGUCUGGGAAUCUUCAGGAAUGGCUUCAAGGACAAACAGUUCUUCAAACCAGCAUGCAGAGUUGCUGGAGAGAUGGCUGACUGUUUAAGACCUGCUCUUUUUGAGGACCUGACUUGAGGUCCCAGCACCCACACUGUUCCUCACAACUGUCUGUGACUCCAGUUCCAGGGCUCUGACGCCCUCUCCUGGCCUCCACAGACACUGUACUCAUGCAGUGCACAGACAUACGUGCAGGCAAAUCACCCAUACACAUAAAAAAAUAAAAUGAUUAAAAUUAUUACUUUUUAAGAAAUACAGCCUGCAGAAAAAAUAACAGAAAAUAUUUUCAUUGAUAUCUGGGAUACACAAAGAAUUAAAGAAAUCAAACUAUAAAGACAUCAGAUAAUACAAUAAAUGAGCUGAUGAAAUGAGCAAAGAGUUGUAAAAAAAUGAAGUAUAAGGGGCCAAUAUGAGAAAAUAUGAUGCCAUUAGCCAUCAGAAAUGCAGUCAACACUGAAACAAAUGACAACACGUAUUGGGGCCAAAACCAGCAUAGCCACUACAGAAGUCAGCAGAGAGGCUCAUCACCAAAUAAUAGAAAAUUUAUUGGAGCUGUAGAGGUGGUGCAGGGGUUGAGAGCACUGGCUGCUUUUGCAGAGAGGGUGUAGGUUUAAUUCCCAACACCCUUGUGGCAGCUCACAACAGUCCUUGGCUCCAGUUCCAAGGGAUCUGGGACAGACUUCUGAUCUCCAUGGGCACCAGACACUUCCUCACUGCAGGGACAUACAUACAGGCAAAAUACUUAUACACAUAAAAUAAAAAUAAACAAGUCUUAAAAAUAGAUUUUUUCUGCACGACCCAGCCCUUCUAUUCCUGGGCAUUUGUGCAGACUUACCUAUCACAGAGGUGCACACACAUACAUCAGAGUUCACUACAGCACCUUUCACCAUAGCUAAGUUGUAGAGCCAACCUAGAUGUCCAGCAACAGGAGAUGGACGAGGAAAAUGGAGCUCAUAUGCACAGUAAUUUUUUUCAGCCACAAUUAAGAAAUCAAUUUGCAUUGCUUCUAAGAAAAUGGAUACUACUGAGAAAAGCAUACUAAACAAAUCAAGGCAGUCUCAGAAAGGAAACAAGGACAAGAGCCGAGAAUACAUAGAGAGCAUCCUCCACCAUGUCCCCCCUCCUGGGAGGUGGGGCAGGCUAGAGUAGACCCAGCCUGUCUGCAGCAUCAUUUUGUCUCUAGAUAGAUGGCAUCAUCUUGCUGGUCACAGUGGUCAGGUCCAGUCUGCACAAUGAACACAGGCCAGAAGGAACAGACAGGGACAGAACUCCUGGGCUGGAGAAGCAGCUCUGCCUGGGAAACCCAGGAAGGAGGAGAGCUCCUCAAAGAGGCUUCGGGUGGAGGAUAGACUGGGGGUGGAGGACAGGGCAUUUCAGGCAGAGCCCUCAAGGUCAUGGCCAUCCCACAGUGGGACCCAAGGUCCACACAGAAAUUCGUCCUCUGGCCAUUUCUUCAUUGUAGCCCACAUUUCACUUGAGCCUUCUGCGUUACACACACACACACACACACACAUACACACACACACACACACACACACACACACACACACACACACUUCCAAACCUAAUUGGGCAUGCCCGCUGGUCCCUCCUUUAAGGCCUGCAAGAACAGUGUGGCUGGGGGCUUGGUAUGAAGCCUUAUUAUUGAGUUCACAAAUUCAACUUUCAGAGAUCUGCCCAAACAAGGGAUUUGUAACAGUUUCAAACAGGGCAAGCCGACUACAUUUCCCAUGACAAUCAGCUUGUUUACCACCCCAAGGUACACUUGAACCGCUGUUGACAUCCUCAUUUGCAUGCCAAUACCCAGAAUGCUUUUCUAGCCCUACAGCGUUAGGCUUCUGCCAGUGAGCUAAACGGUUUAUUUACACAUACAAUACCUGACAGCUUCCUCUCUGAAGCAUCUUUCAUACCCCCAAAGUCUUAAGUUGAUGAAAGAAUUUCAAACUUCUGUUCAAGUUCUAGCACCCUUCUUUCUGGGCUAGAGCUAACAUCAAUUCUGCAUGACCAAAUUAACAUUUUAAUUAAAAGAUACUCGAAGAGAAGGGGGUUUCUGUUAUUUAGCAAAUGUCAUGUUAAGCUUGAUACACUGGGGCAUGGUUGUGAAGAGAAAUCACGUAGCCACACAAAGAACCCCAGGAUACUGGCUGAUCAUCACCAGAGGGCCUUGAACUGGGUAACAUCAUUUUAACUGGAAUUCUAUCCAACUAUGACCUAAGUUUGUGUGUGUGUGUGUGUGUGUGUGUGUGUGUGUGUGUGUGUGUGUUGGUUUUUCGAGACAGGGUUUUUCUGUGAAUACCCUGACUGUCCUGAAACUCACUCUGUAGACCAGGCUGGCCUCCAACUCAGAGCUCCGAAUGCCUCCACGUGUUGUGCCAUAGCUGCCUGACCAGGAUGGUAUUAAGGGACAUUGGAGCUGUGGGUGUGACUCAGUGGUAGAGCAGUUGCUUAACACACACAAGACCUUGGGUUUGGUCCUCAGCACUGCAAAGAUACAGCCAUUGGACAAAUGGCAUAGGAGGUAGAACCACACAUAGCCACUGCCUGCAUUUGCCAAUUUUAAGAGUAUAAUAAUAACAAGGUGUGAACUGAAAGCCAGGGUGGUGACACAUCCUGUAAUCCCAGUGCUGAGGAAAAGGCAGGAGGUCUAAGAACCUCAGUUAUGUGGAGAGUUCAAGGUCAUCCGGAGCUGCACAGGGAGGCCUUGUCUCAAAAACCAACCCAACAAAAACAGUUGUGAACUAAUGCUGUUGACAGUGACUAGAUGUGGGUUCCUUGGCAUUUUGUUCCCAAAGUCAGAUUUGCCUAUAUAAAGUAAGAAAGUGUGAGCUGGGCAGUGGUGACUCACACCUUUAAUCCCAGCACCUGGGAGGCAGAGGUAGGUGGAUCUCUGUUAGUUUGAGCCUGGUCUACAGAAUGAGUUCUAGGACAGCCAGGGCAACUCAGAGAACACUGUCUCAAAACAAAACAAAACAAAUAAAAAGAAAUUGUGAAUUGGGAGGCAGAGGCAGGCAGAGCUCUAUGAAUUCAAGCCAGCCAGGGCAGCAUAGUGAAACCCUAUCUGAAAAAAAGAAAAUAUUUUAAUUAUAAUAUUUUAUAAUAAAAAAGAGAUUAUGACUGUGCUCAACGCAACUUUAAAAAUGGCUUAUAGUUUUUUUAUCACGUUCUCAAAAUUUUUGCUUUUGCUUUGAGACAGGGUCUUGGUGUGUAGCCCUGGCUAGCCUUGGAACCCAAGGAAAGUCCUCUAGAUGGGGUGGUAUGUGUGCCCUUUCAGAUCUAGCAAGUGUUUCACUUACUGGCUGAUUGAGUUUGUGUUUGAGUUUCUGAGGUCAGAUCUUACUAUGUAGCCCAGGCUAGCCUCAAAUUCUUGACUCUCUUCCAGCUUAGUUACCCAAAUGCUGGGAAUACAGGAAACAGCAUCGCUGGCUAAUAUUAGAUUAUUUUAAAAUGUUUUUUUGUAGCUAUUAGGCUUUAAUAUUGGGUAGUUGAAGGGAAGGGCAUGAUGUCAGGGUUUCUGAGACUAUGAAACUGAGUGGGCACCCAGGCUGUGGCUCACAGAGUUAGUCUUAAAUUUUCCUUUGUAAAUUUUAGUGCUAGAAAUGGGGCCCAGGUCCUUGUACACAAUGCACCACUGAGCCCACCUGCAGCCAGAAGCAGUAGUUGAGUACAUUUGAGAACAUGGCCCUGGAAUGGAGCUGAGAGCCCCUCAGCCUCUGUGCCCCCUCCCUUCACUUGGAUCCUGCUUCUUAUAGUCAUUAGAAGGAGUAAGACAGGGGUUCAGAGAUACUGCCACAAUGGCUCAGUGGUUAAGAGCACUGACAGCCCUUAAAGAGGACUCAGGUUCUGUUCCCAGCCUCCACAUAGCAGCUGACAUCCACCUUUAGCUGCAGUUCCAAGGGAUCUGAUGCCACUUUUAGUCUUUUGCAGGCACCAGGCAUACACACACACAGAAAAAACACCUGAAUGCAUAAAAUGAUCAUUUUCUUAAAACAUCAAUUUGGAUCAUACUUAGGACACUGCCUCAGCCCCUCUCAAACUUUUUGGUCUCAGGGAUGCUAACACUCCGAAAAGUGCUGAGGACUCCAAACCUUCUCAUCACUGAAAUGUAUGUGUUUUAGAGAUGAAACCGCCCUGGGGAAUCAGAGACAGGAGGGUAAAGAGUUUGGGGCUACCUGGUCUAUAAACCCAAAUAAAAUCAAAUAGAAAGCCCCCAACAUAUUUACAAUAUCAUUAUAUGUUUACAAUAAUCAUGCAGGUUAUUACUAUUGUGCAGAGGGGCACCCAUCUCAUGGUGAAUGUGUGGAGUCAGAGCACAGCUGAGUGAAUCCAUGUAUAACAUGGAUGGCCACUCAAAAGGUCACAGCCCACACAGGAUGAUAUGCAUGGCUUCUCAGUACAAACGGGGAGGAAGGCUGUCACCACUGCCCAGAGAGCUGGGGUGUGCCAAGGAGAGGUGGGUCCUGCCCCAGCUGUGACCCUGGAUCAUCUCUGGAUGGUGACUCCUGUCCUGUCAUCACUGAUGGUGCAAGUUUUCGUUCCACCUAGUUCUGCAGCCCUUUAGUCCCAAAUAAACACACAGAGGCUUAUAUUAAUUAUAAAUUGUUUGGCUGAUGGCUCAGGCUUCUUAUUGGCUAGCUCUCUCUUAGUUAUUAACCCAUUCCUAUUAAACUAUGUAUUGCCACGAGGCUGUGGCUUACCCUUAAUGUUCCGACACGUUACUCCUUCGGCGGCUACAUGGCAUCUCCCCAUCAACUCUCUGUUUUCCUUUUCCCAGCAUUCCUAGUCUGGUAGUCCCACCUAUACUUCCUGCCUGGCUACUGUCCAAUCAGCAUUUAUUCACCAACCAAUAAGAGAAACAUAUAUUCACAGCAUACAGAAGGAUACCCCCAUCAUCACGCUUACCCAGAUGCCUCAAGGAGCCCUGAACAGAGAAGUUUAUGUGAAUUUGACUUAUCCACCCACCUAUCAGGACACAACUGGUUUCCAGGAGGAAUCUGUUGCUUCCCACAGCCUAAUCACCAACCUGUGCAGGUU
rnacentral:lncRNA from 1 species